rnacentral:rRNA from 1 species
UACGAAGGGGGCUAGCGUUGCUCGGAAUUACUGGGCGUAAAGGGCGCGUAGGCGGUCAGCACAAGUCAGUUGUGAAAUCUCCGGGCUUAACUCGGAAAGGUCAACUGAUACUGUGCGACUAGAGUGCGGAAGGGGCAACUGGAAUUCUCGGUGUAGCGGUGAAAUGCGUAGAUAUCGUAAGGAAGACCAGUGGCGAAGGCGGGUCUCUGGACAGUUCCUGACGCUGAGGCACGAAGGCCAGGGGAGCAAACAGG